CCUACGGGUGGCAGCAGUAGGGAAUAUUGCUCAAUGGGGGAAACCCUGAAGCAGCAACGCCGCGUGGAGGAUGAAGGUUUUCGGAUUGUAAACUCUUUUUGUUAGAGAAGAUAAAGACGGUACCUAACGAAUAAGCACCGGCUAACUCCGUGCCAGCAGCCGUGGUAAUACGGAGGGUGCAAGCGUUACUCGGAUUCACUGGGCGUAAAGGGCGCGUAGGCGGGAUAGCAAGUCAGAUGUGAAAUCCUAUGGCUUAACCAUAGAACUGCAUUUGAAACUGGUAGUCUAGAGUAUGGGAGAGGUAGGUGGAAUUCGUGGUGUAGGGGUAAAAUCCGUAGAGAUCAAGAAGAAUACUCAUUGCGAAGGCGGCCUGCUAGAACGUAACUGACGCUGAUGCGCGAAAGCGUGGGGAGCAAACAGGAUUAGAUACCCGGGUAGUC
rnacentral:rRNA from 1 species